rnacentral:rRNA from 1 species
UGUUCUAUGAAUUGUAAACUGCUCUUCUAAGGGAAGAAACCUAUCUACGUGUAGGUAGUUGCCGGUACCUUAGGAAUAAGCAUCGGCUAACUCCGUGCCAGCAGCCGCGGUAAUACGGAGGAUGCAAGCGUUAUCCGGAUUCAUUGGGUUUAAAGGGUGCGUAGGCGGAUAUUUAAGUCAGUGGUGAAAUCUUGCGGCUCAACCGUAACAUUGCCAUUGAUACUGAAUGUCUUGAAUGCAGUUGAGGUAGGCGGAAUGUGUAAUGUAGCGGUGAAAUGCUUAGAUAUUACACAGAACACCGAUUGCGAAGGCAGCUUGCUAAACUGUGAUUGACGCUGAUGCACGAAAGCGUGGGGAUCAAACAGGAUUAGAUACCCUGGUAGUCCACGCUGUAAACGAUGAUCACUCGUUGUUUGCGUUAUAUAGCAAGCGACUGAGCGAAAGCAUUAAGUGAUCCACCUGGGGAGUACGUUCGCAAGAAUGAAACUCAAAGGAAUUGACGGGGGCCCGCACAAGCGGAGGAACAUGUGGUUUAAUUCGAUGAUACGCGAGGAACCUUACCUGGGUUUAAAUGUAGGUUGCAUGAGAGGGAAACUUCUCUUUCCUUCGGGACUACUUACAAGGUGCUGCAUGGUUGUCGUCAGCUCGUGCCGUGAGGUGUCGGGUUAAGUCCCAUAACGAGCGCAACCCCUAUCGUUAGUUGCCAGCAAGUAAAGUUGGGGACUCUAGCGAGACUGCCGGUGUAAACCGUGAGGAAGGUGGGGAUGACGUCAAAUCAGCACGGCCCUUAUAUCCAGGGCUACACACGUGUUACAAUGGUCGGGUACAAGAGCAGCCACUUGGGUGACAGGCGCUAAUCUCAAAAGCCGAUCUCAGUUCGGA